UAAUACAGAGGUGGCAAGCGUUGUUCGGAAUUACUGGGCGUAAAGGGCGCGUAGGCGGUCUUAUAAGUCUCGUGUGAAAUCCCUCGGCUUAACUGAGGAACUGCACGGGAUACUGCAAGACUUGAGAUCGGGAGAGGGAAGCGGAAUUCCGGGUGUAGCGGUGAAAUGCGUAGAUAUCCGGAGGAACACCGGUGGCGAAGGCGGCUUCCUGGACCGACACUGACGCUGAGGCGCGAAAGCUAGGGGAGCAAACGGGA
rnacentral:rRNA from 1 species